UACAUGUGGGGCAAGCGUUGUUCGGAAUUACUGGGCAUAAAGGGUGCGUAGGUGGCUUGUUAAGUCAGGGGUGAAAGUUUUCGGCCCAACCGGAAAAUGGCCUUUGAUACUGGCGAGCUCGAGUGCGUGAGGGGUAACCGGAACGAGCAGUGUAGCGGUGAAAUGCGUAGAUAUUGCUCGGAAGGCCAACGGCGAAGGCAGGUUACUGGUGCGCAACUGACACUGAGGCACGAAAGCGUGGGGAGCAAACAGA
rnacentral:rRNA from 1 species